rnacentral:tRNA from 1 species
GCCCCCGUAGCUCAGUGGAUUAGAGUGCUGGCCUCCGGAGCCAGAGACGAGAGUUCGACCCUCUCCGGGGGUACCA